rnacentral:rRNA from 1 species
GACGAACGCUGGCGGCGUGCCUAAUACAUGCAAGUAGAACGCUGAAGGAGGAGCUUGCUUCUCUGGAUGAGUUGCGAACGGGUGAGUAACGCGUAGGUAACCUGCCUGGUAGCGGGGGAGAACUAUUGGAAACGAUAGCUAAUACCGCAUAAUAGUAGAUGUCGCAUGACAUUUGCUUAAAAGGUGCAAUUGCAUCACUACCAGAUGGACCUGCGUUGUAUUAGCUAGUUGGUGAGGUAACGGCUCACCAAGGCAACGAUACAUAGCCGACCUGAGAGGGGGAUCGGCCACACUGGGACUGAGACACGGCCCAGACUCCUACGGGAGGCAGCAGUAGGGAAUCUUCGGCAAUGGACGGAAGUCUGACCGAGCAACGCCGCGUGAGUGAAGAAGGUUUUCGGAUCGUAAAGCUCUGUUGUAAGAGAAGAACGAGUGUGAGAGUGGAAAGUUCACACUGUGACGGUAUCUUACCAGAAAGGGACGGCUAACUACGUG